GAUGAACGCUGGCGGCGUGCCUAAUACAUGCAAGUCGAGCGACGCGCGGACGGGUGAGUAACACGUGGAUAAACUCCUUUAAGACUGGGAUAACUUCGUGAAACCGGUGCUAAUCCGGAUACUUUUCGAUGGAUCCGCGCUGCAUUAGCUAGUUGGUAAGGUAACGGCUUACCAAGGCAACGAUGCAUAGCCGACCUGAGAGGGUGAUCAGCCACACUGGAACUGAGACACGGUCCAGACGCCUACGGGAGGCAGCAGUAGGGAAUCUUCCGCAAUGGGCGAAAGCCUGACGGAGUAACGCCGCGUGAGUGAUGAAGGUCUUCGGAUCGUAAAACUCUGUUAUUAGGGAAGCGGUACCUAAUCAGAAAGCCACGGCUAACUACGUGCCAGCAGCCGCGGUAAUUC
rnacentral:rRNA from 1 species